rnacentral:rRNA from 1 species
ACGAACGCUGGCGGCAUGCCUAACACAUGCAAGUCGAACGAGACCUUCGGGUCUAGUGGCGCACGGUUGCGUAACGCGUGGGAACCUGCCCUUAGGUUCGGAAUAACUCCCCGUAAGGGGUGCUACUACCGGAUAAUGUCUUCGGACCAAAGAUUUAUCGCCUUUGGAUGGGCCCGCGUUGGAUUAGCUAGUUGGUAGGGUAAAAGCCUACCAAGGCGACGAUCCAUAGCUGGUCUGAGAGGAUGAUCAGCCACACUGGGACUGAGACACGGCCCAGACUCCUACGGGAGGAAGCAGUGGGGAAUAUUGGACAAUGGGAGAAAGCCUGAUCCAGCAAUGCCGCGUGAGUGAUGAAGGCCUUAGGGUUGUAAAGCUCUUUUACCCGGGAUGAUAAUGACAGUACCGGGAGAAUAAGCUCCGGCUAACUCCGUG